UUGCGGAGCUCUGGGACACAUCUUUCCUAGUCAGUUGCGCUCGUUCCUAUGGCAAAAGAGAACUUCAGCUUCGGUUUUCCAGCUCCCAAACAGUUAAGUGACUUCCUGCAAACGCUACAGUCCCAGCAACCAGCCUUCCAAUCAAAAUGAAUAAACCAGCAGACCAAUUCAGAGCCCAUUUCAGUGGUGCAGGUGAGAGGUGUUAGAGACCUGGACAAGGUGGUGGCAGAUGAAGAUGGAGAGAAGAGAGAUAGGAUCUCGCUAUGUUGCCCAGGCUGACUUCCUGCCUCAUGCAUCCCUCACCAAGCUUAACAGUUUACAAAUGGGAAAUCCACAACAUUGGUCAAGAAGAAAAGGCACCAUGAAUGGGAAGACCGAAGUGUAGACAACCAGCUGGAACAAGG